rnacentral:lncRNA from 12 species
GUCAAAGUAAAUCACACUACUUAAUAAAUGUGAGCCUUGUAAGCUGUAUAAGAUGUAAUUGUUUAUUAAAGGUGCAUUAAAUUGACUGUACUUCUUUCCCUCACAGCAUCAUUUUCAUUUGCAUCAAGUUAAAUAUGGCAUCCACUCCCUGCCUUAUAGGGAGUAGAAAUUUUGCUCUCUCUGCUGGUCUUAUUUGUCUCUUACAUGGCCUAUAUCAAGUACAAAGAUAUGUCAAUCCUCCAUAUUUGUUUUCAGAAGUUUUAACAGUUUAUUUAUAUGUUUACAGGGUGACAUCCAGCAGCUGAUGAUUGUAUCGGACCAUCGUGCUGCGUUUGACUACUGUGAGCACUACAGCCCCGACUGUGAGGUUCCUGUAUCUGAACACCACCAGAACCAAGAACCAAACACUGAUGAAUAUAACACAGAGGAUGACUACUAUUACGAAUAUCCCUACUAUGAGGACAUGGACAAUGAAAAGACAGAAGAAAGGACUGGAACCGAAACUGAAGACCUAACGGUGUCUGUUCCGGAUAGCGGUCGCGUGGUUACGUCGGUUAUCACUAGUGGAACAGGAGGCUCCAGCAGUUCCUCGAGUAGCUCCUCGUCCUCCUCUACUUCAUCCUCUUCAUCCUCCAGCUCUACCACGACUACUGGCGAGGAACCGUACGACGGCUACGAUGGAUACGAGACUGGAUAUGAGACAGACUAUGACGAGUCGACCUCGCGGCCUGACGGCUCCCGGACCAUCAGCAUCACUAGCACAGGCACCGGCGGAGAAGUGGAUAUCGGACUGGGUGGUGAGGUGGAUAUGGGACUGGGAGGAGACCUGGACAGGCGGAUCAUUACAUCAUCAUCAUCAUCAUCAUCGUCAUCAUCGUCGUCGUCAUCAACAGGAGGAGGAGGAAGUGGAAGAGUUCACUCAGCUGUCACAGUCAUUCACAAUGGAACGUCUGGCUCUGUUUCCAGCUCCGGCUCUGGCACUGGCUCUAGCACCAGAAUCAUUACUAGCUCCGGCUCCAGCUCCAGCUCUGGAGUCAGUACCGGCUCCAGCUCCAGCUCCAGCUCUAGCUCUACCUCGGUGAGUUUAGUUGGAACUUGUUAUCCCAAACUGUUAAACUUUUAG